rnacentral:rRNA from 1 species
UUAAAUUGAAGAGUUUGAUCAUGGCUCAGAUUGAACGCUGGCGGCAGGCCUAACACAUGCAAGUCGAACGGUAACAGGAAGCAGCUUGCUGCUUUGCUGACGAGUGGCGGACGGGUGAGUAAUGUCUGGGAAACUGCCUGAUGGAGGGGGAUAACUACUGGAAACGGUAGCUAAUACCGCAUAACGUCGCAAGACCAAAGAGGGGGACCUUCGGGCCUCUUGCCAUCGGAUGUGCCCAGAUGGGAUUAGCUAGUAGGUGGGGUAAMGGCUCACCUAGGCGACGAUCCCUAGCUGGUCUGAGAGGAUGACCAGCCACACUGGAACUGAGACACGGUCCAGACUCCUACGGGAGGCAGCAGUGGGGAAUAUUGCACAAUGGGCGCAAGCCUGAUGCAGCCAUGCCGCGUGUAUGAAGAAGGCCUUCGGGUUGUAAAGUACUUUCAGCGGGGAGGAAGGGAGUAAAGUUAAUACCUUUGCUCAUUGACGUUACCCGCAGAAGAAGCACCGGCUAACUCCGUGCCAGCAGCCGCGGUAAUACGGAGGGUGCAAGCGUUA